CCUACGGGAGGCAGCAGUAGGGAAUAUUCGGCAAUGGGCGAAAGUCUGACCCAGCCACGCCGCGUGAGUGAAGAAGGUCUUCGGAUUGUAAAGCUCUGUUGUUAGAGAAGAAUAAGGNUCGUUAGUAUNUGCAACGUNCCCCUGAACGGUAUCCUACNCAAAAAGCCNCGUGCUAAC
rnacentral:rRNA from 1 species